rnacentral:rRNA from 1 species
GACGAACGCUGGCGGCGUGCUUAACACAUGCAAGUCGUACGGAAAGGCCCUGCUUUUGUGGGGUGCUCGAGUGGCGAACGGGUGAGUAACACGUGAGUAACCUGCCCUUGACUUUGGGAUAACUUCAGGAAACUGGGGCUAAUACCGGAUAGGAGCUCCUGCUGCAUGGUGGGGGUUGGAAAGUUUCGGCGGUUGGGGAUGGACUCGCGGCUUAUCAGCUUGUUGGUGGGGUAGUGGCUUACCAAGGCUUUGACGGGUAGCCGGCCUGAGAGGGUGACCGGCCACAUUGGGACUGAGAUACGGCCCAGACUCCUACGGGAGGCAGCAGUGGGGAAUAUUGCACAAUGGGCGGAAGCCUGAUGCAGCAACGCCGCGUGCGGGAUGACGGCCUUCGGGUUGUAAACCGCUUUCGCCUGUGACGAAGCGUGAGUGACGGUAAUGGGCAAAGAAGCACCGGCUAACUACGUG